rnacentral:lncRNA from 1 species
GUUGAUUAAUGGUGAACUUUUCAUUUAAAGAUAGAAUCAAAGUGGCUGGGGUGAUAAGAGAGAAAAAUCAGAAGAUUAGUUUGAUUAAUUAUUCAUUCAUAUAUGUAUAUAUUAGACAUAACCAUAGACGAGAUCAUGAAGAUAGAGAUCGGGGAGAGAGAGAGAUAUAUAAUUUAGCUAUAAUACUUUCUUAUUUACAGAAAUUAUUUAUUGUAAAUGUUUAACAAAUGUUUAACCAUGGUCAAUAAGGAAGACACAUGUCAAUAGGAUAGAUGGGUGGACAUUUUGGUGGGCGGUAAAUUUGCUUUCCUCGUGAACUAAUAUCACCUAAGUUCUUAUUUGCAUCCUUACUUUUUUUGUUUGAGUAAAUUUCAAUUUAUUCCCCUGAACUUUAGGUCUAAAAUCAGUCCGAUACCUCAUUUUUUUUUUAAUCAGUUUCAUUCCUAAACUUUCAAAAUGACAUCAAUCUCGACCAAAAUGACUAAAAUAGCCCUUGUUAAUUUUUUACCUCAANNNNNNNNNNNNNNNNNNNNGUAAACUGAAAUUUUUUGUUAUUUUUUUUUUCUUUUUUUGUAGAAUGUACCUUACUUCUUAUAAGAGAAAUUUUAUUAACAUAUCCUUAAUUACUAGAUACACAUACUAUACUUAAUACACUACCUAUUAACUUUAUUAUUUAAACAUUUUACUAGAUACACAUAACUAAAUUUCUCACAAUACUCUCAUUUAAAAUACACAACUUAUUC